rnacentral:rRNA from 1 species
GGGGAGCAAACAGGAUUAGAUACCCUGGUAGUCCACGCUGUAAACGAUGAAUGUUAAAUAUGGGAAGUUUACCUUCUGUAUUAUAGCUAACGCGUUAAACAUUCCGCCUGGGGACUACGGUCGCAAGAUUAAAACUCAAAGGAAUUGACGGGGACCCGCACAAGCGGUGGAGCAUGUGGUUUAAUUCGAUGCAACGCGAAAAACCUUACCACUCCUUGACAUGGAAAUUAUACCUAUUCGAAGGGAUAGGGUCGGUUCGGCCGGAUUUCACACAGGUGUUGCAUGGCUGUCGUCAGCUCGUGUCGUGAGAUGUUGGGUUAAGUCCCGCAACGAGCGCAACCCUCAUCCUUAGUUACCAUCAGGUAAUGCUGGGGACUUUAAGGAAACUGCCAGUGAUAAACUGGAGGAAGGUGGGGAUGAUGUCAAGUCAUCAUGGCCCUUAUGGAGUGGGCUACACACGUGCUACAAUGGUGGCUACAAUGGGCUGCAAAGUCGCGAGGCUAAGCUAAUCCCUUAAAAGCCAUCUCAGUUCGGAUUGUACUCUGCAACUCGAGUGCAUGCAGUUGGAAUCGCUAGUAAUCGUGGAUCAGCACGCCACGGUGAAUACGUUCUCGGGUCUUGUACACACUGCCCGUCACGCCAUGGGAAUUGGUUACACUCGAAGCUAACGACCUAACCGCAAGGAGGGAGUUAUUUAAAGUGGGAUCGGUGACUGGGGUG